CGCCCCUGCCGAGAGUGGCUUUCCGGCAGAUAGCCCAGGGGCUGCUCUCUGAGACCUACCUGAGGCGCAUCGCAUCGUGAAGAGAACAAAGCGAGGAGGACGAGCUGGGGUCAGGGAGCUGACAGAGGACGAGCUGCGGCAGAUCACAGAGGAAGAUAUUCUACGACAAGCUGGC